rnacentral:tRNA from 1 species
GCCUCUGUAGCUCAGUAGGUGGAGCGUACGGCUGUUAACCGUAAGGUCACCAGUUCAAGUCUGGUCAGAGGCG